ACUCCUACGGGAGGCAGCAGUGGGGAAUAUUGCACAAUGGGCGCAAGCCUGAUGCAGCCAUGCCGCGUGUGUGAAGAAGGCCUUCGGGUUGUAAAGCACUUUCAGCGGGGAGGAAGGCGAUAAGGUUAAUAACCUUGUCGAUUGACGUUACCCGCAGAAGAAGCACCGGCUAACUCCGUGCCAGCAGCCGCGGUAAUAC
rnacentral:rRNA from 1 species